ensembl:snRNA U1 U1 spliceosomal RNA
AUACUUACCUGGCAGGGGAGAUAUCAUGAUCAUGAAGGUGGUUUUCCCAGGGCGAGGCUUAUCCAUUGCACUCCGGAUGUGCUGACCCCUGCGAUUUCCCCAAAUGUGGGAAACUCGAUUUAAAAUUUAGA